AUUCCAGCCCCAAUAGCGUAUAUUAAAGUUGUUGCAGUUAAAAAGCUCGUAGUCGGAUUUUGGCAUCACGCCGAACUGUCUGCCGAUUGGUAAGUACGGUUUGGCGGGUGCUUCCUUCCGGAGGCUCGUUCCCUUCUUCAUUGAAGGGUUCGUUGGUUCCGGGUCUUUUACUUUGAGAAAAUUAGAGUGUUCAAAGCAGGCUCGCGCUGUGAAUACAUUAGCAUGGAAUAAUAAUUUAGGACUUGGUAUCCUAUUUUGUUGGUUUGCAUUCCAAGGUAAUGAUUAAUAGGGAUAGUUGGGGGUAUUCGUAUUCAAUUGUCAGAGGUGAAAUUCUUGGAUUUAUGGAAGACGAACUACUGCGAAAGCAUUUACCAAGGAUGUUUUCAUUA
rnacentral:rRNA from 1 species